CUUUCCAUAUUACCAUACGACGCGCCUCACGCGUGCAUAGGGUGAUUUUCGCCGGGCACGGUUCGAUGCGUCGACGAGAUCCAACCGUCCAUCCGCAUCGCCGUUGGAUGUGAACCGCACUGGGUGUCAGGUGCUGAACCUGAAACCAUUACCAUAUAUAUCAUCUUUAUGACUUUAUCCAUCAUUCCAUUCAUCAACGGUUGAAUAUUAUAAGAAUACAUGAAAAUCUAGGGUAAAUAAGCAAUUAUCCCACAAAACUAAGUCCAGGACCUAAUUGAAAUAAAACUAAACCAAGGGUUAUAACAAAACAGAUUUAACUGUUUUGUUAUAAAUGUUUCUUAUAAAUGUUUCAAUAAAAUCGUUAAUUGGACUAGAAUGCAAUUAAAAGAAAUAACAGGUUAUUACAAAAUAAGUUGUUUUAACUUGAAUGAACUUUCAUAUGGGUCAACUCGCAAAUUCUCCAGUUAUUUAAUAGUCUAAGGACUAUUAAAUAAAAUUCUCAAACUUAAGUCAAGGAUUAAAUUGUUAUUACUAACAAGUUUGGUUUUAUGCAGCAAUUAUCACAAUUCAAUUUAAGCGGAUCCGGGUCAAGAAGUAAUGAACCAGAAUCCGGAAUCCGAUUAAAUUUUGUUUUAAAAUCGUUGUAAUUAGUUAGUGUAAUUAGCUGUAUAAGUACUGGAGAGUUUGUAUUAAACAUCAUUAAGUUUUUAAUCAAAUAAAAACUAAACAUUUUUCAUUUUCUCCCCUUUCUUCUUUUCUUUCUUCUUUUCACUCCAACGGUUAUUUUCGUUUUAUCCCAAACUGGGAUUGGGCGGAAAACCCUAGGCGACUCCGGCAAUCUUCUCUUCAAUCGCUCGCCGGACUCCAGAAGACGGUUCCCUGACGUCGCCCACUCCUCCUACAUUGGUUUUUAAGAUGGUAUCAGAGCAUGAUAUCCCGGAUGAACGACACUCAAUGGUUAACAGGCCACCCAAUGCUUCCGCGAUUUCUCCUCAAAAUGCUCCGGCAGUUUCUGUUGCAAGGCCGAGCGACCCAAUUCAGACGCCGGCAGAAUCAAAUCGUUCAUCAUCUGGAUCGACUGGAAAGUCCAAAGGCAAUCAUCAGUAUGAGUUCUAUGAUAAUUCUUUUUUUAAAAGACAUAGGACACAAAGGUAUGUAUCCCCUUUACAGGACCCAGAGUCCCCUUUUUUCCUGACCUCCGGUGAUCAUCCGGGGGCUUUACUAGUUCCUGAUCGAUUGGUUGGAGAAACCAAUUACAUUACAUGGUCUAAUGGAAUGAAAGUAUCUCUAGUUUCAAGGAGAAAAGACUCCUUUAUUAAUGGUAAAAUAAAAAUGCCUGAUGACAUUGAGAGUAGAGAAUACAAUAUCUGGAAAAUUGUAAAUGGAUUAGUUCUAGCUUGGAUAUUAAAUUCAGUUUCUCCUCAAAUUCAGUCCACCUUGAUGUAUUCAAGUAAUGCACACCAAAUAUGGAUGGAUUUAGAAAAUAGGUACAAACAAAGCAAUGCUCCUAAGGUUAGCCAAAUUAAAUAUGAACUUUGUUGUUUACAACAAGGAACAUUGACUGCCUCUAAGUUUUACGAAACCUUUGCCCCAGUAGUGAAAAUGACUACAAUUAGAACAAUAAUUGCAAUUUCAGCAAUCAAAGAAUGGAAAAUAUACCAAUUAGAUGUAAAUAAUGCAUUUCUUCAUGGAGAUCUCCAUGAAGAAGUAUAUCUAAAACCACCACAAGGAUUCCUCAAUGAAGGAGAUAAAAGGGUUUGUAAAUUAAACAAAUCCUUAUAUGGUUUAAAACAAGCAUCCAGGAAUUGGUUUGCUAAGUUAAAAGGAGUUCUCCUUGAGAUGAAUUUCUCACAAACACCCUCCGAUUAUUCAUUAUUUGUCAAGAACAAUAAUGAAAACCUGAUAUACUAAUUAGUAUAUGUAGAUGAUAUUAUCAUCACAGGAAACAAUGAAACAGAAAUCUUCUUAAUUAAGAAGAAUAUUGAAAAAAAAUUCAAAAUUAAGGAUUUAGGAAAAUUAUCCUAUUUUCUAGGAAUUGAAGUUUCAUAUCCUUCAAAAGGCAUAUACUUAUCUCAAAGAAAAUAUGCUCUUGGCAUCCUAGAGGAAAGUGGACUCAUAGAUGCAAAACCAUCAAAAAUCUCAAUGGAAAGACAUGUGAACCUAAGAAAUGAGAAGGUUAAGCCAUUAACAGACCCAACCUUUUAUAGGUCGUUAGUAGGCAAAUUAAUAUACCUGAACAUAACUAGGCCUUACCUAACCUUCUCUGUCCAUUGGUUAAGUCAAUUUAUGGGAAACCCAAAUGAGAUACAUCUCCAAGUUCUAUUCAAAAUAAUAAGAUACAUUAAGAAUGCUCCUGGACAGGGAAUUCUAUAUCAAAAUCAAAACAAAAUGGAUCUUCAUGGCUAUUGUGAUUCAGAUUGGGCAUCCUGCCAGAUCAGCAAAAAAUCACUAACAGGAUACUGUAUGUUCUUAGAAACAUCAGUAAUUUCAUGGAAAUCCAAGAAACAGGACACUGUCUCUCUAUCAUCAUGUGAAGCUGAGUAUAGAGCCAUAAGUAAAGCACAAUGUGAGGUACUAUGGUUACACCAGCUAUUUAAAGAUUUAAAAUUAAAAAUCAAAUUACCAACCUCCUUGUACUGUGAUAACAAGUCAGCCAUAUAUCUGGCAAAUAACCCAGUAUUCCAUGAGAGAAGCAAACAUAUAGAAAUUUCUUGCCACUCAAUAAGAGAGAAGAUAGAAAAAGGAAUAAUCCUGUUAAAACAAGUAGGUACAAAAUACCAACUUGCAGAUAUCUUCACAAAAUCAUUGGGUGAGAGUGAAAUUUCAGCAUUCUCAGUCAAGCUAGGAAUUUACAAUGUAUAUUCUAAGGCUUGAGGGGGGAGUAUAAGAAUACAUGAAAAUCUAGGGUAAAUAAGCAAUUAUCCCACAAAACUAAGUCCAGGACCUAAAUGGAAUAAAACUAAACCAAGGGUUAUGACAAAACAGAUUUAACUGUUUUGUUUAUAACUUGAAAAGGGUUUCUUAUAAAUGUUUCAAUAAAAUCGUUAAUUGGACUAGAAUGCAAUUAAAAGAAAUAACAGGUUAUUACAAAAUAAGUUGUUUUAACUUGAAAGGGGUUUCUUAUAAAUGUUUCAAUAAAAUCGUUAAUUGGACUAGAAUGCAAUUAAAAGAAAUAAUAGGUUAUUACAAAAUAAGUUGUUUUAACUUGAAUAAACUUUCAUAUGGGUCAACUCGCAAAUUCUCCAGUUAUUUAAUAGUCCAAGGACUAUUAAAUAAAACUCUCAAACUUAAGUCAAGGAUUAAAUUGUUAUUACUAACAAGUUUGUGUUUAUGCAGCAAUUAUCACAAUUCAAUUUAAGCGGAUCCGGGUCAAGAAGCAAUAAUUCGGAAUCCGAUUAAAUUUUUGUUUUAAAAUCGUUGUAAUUAGUUAGUGUAAUUAGCUGUAUAAGUACUGGAGAGUUUGUAUUAAACAUUAUCAAGUUUUUAAUCAAAUAAAAACUAAAACAUUUCCAUUUUCUCCCCUUUCUUUCUUUCUUUCUUUCUUUCUUUCUUUCUUUCUUUCUUUCUUCUUUUCACUCCAACGCUGGGAUUGGGCGGAAAACCCUAGGCGACUCCGGCAAUCACCUCUUCAGACGCUCGCCGGACUCCAGAAGACGGUUCCCUGACGUCGCCCAUUCCUCCUACGUUGGUUUUUAAGAGCGAAUGCAAUCCGUUAUUUCAAUAACGCCACUUCGACGCACCAGACGUUUUUUCUAUAAAUAAAUAAAAAAGAUUAACUUAACUUAUCAAAAACGUUCAAUAAACUUGCAAUCAAGAAAUGAUUUUACUAAACAAUGGGAAAUUAAUUUAUCAACCUAAACCCUAAUUACCAACUUUACUGUCUAAACGAACCUAAUUUCUCGUAACAACAAUAACUAUGAAGGUUAUUAACUGUUAAAGUUCUAAUGAAGUUUAAUUUAAUUUUUACGACAAUUUAAUUUUAAUGAAGUUUCAUUACUCGAAAAUUCUUCAUCAUUACUUAAUUAUUUAGUGGAAAAAAAAAGUAGCACCAAUGUAUCGAACACGUUCAAAAAGAAAGUACAAUUUCGAACAACCAUGGCACACGUAGUGGGUGGUAAUUACCAGUCCGUACCAACCGUACGUAAAAGUGUUUAAGGUUGGUAUAAUGGAGAAUUCCGACAGCGAUCACUCCUCGGAAGCAUAUAGUCAUGGGUAGGGGUGUAAAUGACUUGGUCUGGAUUGACUGGUUUAGACCCGAAUUCGGGUCCAGAAAGAAAAUAUCUAGAUCCGGGCCCAACCCAAACUCAUAAAAAAAUCGGGUCUGGAACGUCCGGAUCCAAAUAUGUAUUUUUUUAGCUUACAAUUAUAAAUAAAUAGUUAUACAAAAACAUUUAUUAAAUUUUUAAAACAUAAUAUAAAAAUAUCAUUCUAAGUUUACAAUAUUAAUGAAUUAUCUUUUCCUUUUUCUUUGUUAAUUUUUUAUAUAAAUUACCUUUGGAUUCUAAUCUUAAGGAUAGAUUCCUAAAUAUUUGCGUCAUACUUAAUUUGGACUUGUGGUUCGUAAAUUAGGGUUAUAAUCGUACUUUAGACUUCUGUCGUAAAUUAGAUUUAUUUUUGUAAAUAUUUAAAAUCACAGGGUUAGGGUUAAUGAUUUAGGGUUAGGGUUUCAUGAACAAUUCAAGGAUUAUUUUAUCGUUAUGGCCUUAAUGAUUCACUUAACCUUGCUUGGGGGGAUACUGGCAGUACACGCCUUAGCACAUGCUCUCUUUGGGGGGAGUACUGCUAAUACAUGACUGAACGUCAGUCACUCCCAUCAACGCCCCUCAAUAGGGACUUGGGUUCUAUUCUCUAUAUAACGGACCCCCAGAAGGCUCCCACGAUUGCGGAACAAUGAUCUUCGUCAAGUCGUCGAGUUGAACUAGUGAAUCGUCGACUUGGGCUGCCAAAUUGCCGAUUUGAGUGGUAAAUCGCCGAGUUGAGGCUGAGAUCGUCAGCACUGGCCGGCUGUUGAUCUCGACCCUGCCACUAAAUCGCAGUUUGACCCCCCAAAUCUACGGCUUCAUGACCGUUUUUCGGUGCCAGCUCACGCCCUUAUAAAAGGGGUCCUUCGGGCAUAACCCAAGGCAUCAGUUCCAUCCCAAUCCAGAGCAGAACAUGGAGCAAAUCACCGAUUACACACUCUUAAUCGCCGAUUCCUCCCGAAAGAUUUGACGUAGAGCGGCGUUGUCGAUUCUAGAGCCUCCGGCAUUACCUCGCACCACCGCGAGCCCGAGUAGAAAAUUCCUUGCUUCAUCAAAGUACUCCUCCCAAGGUCGCAAAAUUUUGCUGUCUUGUGUUUUAACAUUUUAGCCUCGCACUUGUUAUUCAGAAGUAUUCCAUUUUGAAUAAACGUAAGUAUUGGUUGUCUCAAAUCCUCUUGUGGAUUAGAACUGACACUCAAUACUUGGCACGUGGGCUGGAGUAUGGAAUCCAUUAGGAUUUUGCACUGCCCUCCUUCCUAGGCUAAGGCUAGACGUGCUAAUGCGUCGGAUGAUGUGUUUUGGAUUUGAGGGAUUUGCUCUAUUUUAAACUCAGCGAAUUGCUUGGUGAGUUCUACCAUUUCUUCCACAUAUUUCGUAAUUUAUGACUCUUUGCAAGCGAACUCUCCCGUGGUUUACCGAUCUAUGAGCUGCGUGUCAGUGCGAAGGGUUACUUUCUCAGCGCCAAGAGUUCUCAACAACUUUAGGCCGUGUAUAGCUGCUUCGUAUUCGGUGACAUUGUUCGAUGCCGGGAAAUGAAGCCGUAUUGAAUGUUUGUAAUUUUUUCCAUCUGGACUAUGGAUUUUUACUCUGAUACCUGAGCCUGUGCUGUAAUUCGAGCCAUCUACUUCCAUAAUCCAUGGUUGGUUGGUGUGAGUUAAACGAUGAAGUCCUUUACAGCUUGCCCUUUAAUAGAAGUGGCUGGUCGGAAAUCUAGGUCGAAUUCAAUGAGUUCGAUUGCCCAUUUAGUCAACCUCCUGGAUAUGUCGGGUUUAUGAAGUAGACAGUGUAAGGAACACGAUGUCAGAAUCACUAUCGUAUGUGCUAAGAUGUAGGCUCGAAAACGAUGACAAGGGUGGAUAACAGCGUAUAUGAUUUUCUCAAUCGGAGAGUAUUAUAUUUCUACACAUUGAAGUCGCCUCGAGUGAUAGUAGAUAGGAAUCUGAUCUUUGUCCCUUUGCGCAAUGAAAACCGCAGCAGAGGUCCUCCCCAUCCUUGGGUGAUGUCAGCAUUGGAAGCGAGGACAUGUGUGCUUUUAACUUAGCAAACACGUCCUCGCAUUCCGGUAUCCAAGUAAUGAUCCCCUUAGUCACAGUUUUUAGUAAUUGGAAGAACGGUUUACACUUGUCAGCCGUUUGCGAUAUGAAAUGACUAAGUACGUUAAUCCGACCGUUCAAACUUUGUACAUCUCUAAUUGUGCGAGGGGCUUCCAUAUCAAGUAUUGCUUGGAUCUUUUCGGGAUAUGGUUUAAUCCCAUGCUGACCUACAUAAAAUUCAAGGAAUUUUCCUUCCUUGAUUCCGAACGCACACUUGGCUGGGUUGAACUUUAUUCUGUAUUGCUUCAAUGUGUCUAAGGAUUCUCUUAGAUCCUCAGGGUGCUUUUCUACGCUUAAUGAUUUGACGAGGAUGUCAUCAACGUAAGAGGAAACAUUGCGCCCGAUCUGUUCUGAGAAUACCUUAUAUAUUAAGCGUUGGAAUGCUUUAUUGAGAUCAUUGAAAUCAAUACACAUGCACCAUUUGCCAUUAGGUUUCUUGAUAAUGACAGGGUUUGCCAACCAAUGCGGGAAUUGAACUUCUUGAAUGUGUCCAGCAUUCAGAAGCUUCGAUAUCUCCUCAUUGGCCGCUACCCACCUAUCAGCAGUGAGUGCUCGACGUUUCUAGCAUCGAGCUGGAAUGGAUGGGUUGACAUUGAAUUUGUGCUUCACGAUUUGACGCGCAAUCUGUGUCGGUAUCUCACUCUCCCAAACAGACUUGCAUUUUCUUCGGGAUUGACGAGUUCGAACACGAACCCCUCGAUAUCGAAGGUGAUCACCUCCUCGGAGGCAACAAUCAGGGAUUUAGGGUUUUCAAAACUAGGGUUUGACAUCCUCGCUGGGUUUAAAAUUGGUGAUUUCAAAUAAGAUCGUCGAUUUGAAUUGGGGGUAAUUUUCGGAGGAUUAAGAGUGUAAAAGUGAGGUUUAUGAUAAUCUCACCCCUAUUUAUAGUGUUCAGAAAAAUUGUAAAAACAUCCCGCAAAAUUCAAAAAUUACGCGAAGAUAAUGCGAAAUUUAUUUUUGAAUUUCUGAAAUCAUGCAGAAUCGGCGAUUUGCCUAAAAAAAUCGCCGAUUCUAGGCAAAAUAUAAGGGGCCAAUUUAAAAGUUUUUCAAAUUUAGGGAAAUUUGUUAAUAUUCCCCAAGAUCUUUAAGAUCUUCUAAGAGAUCCGUAGGAAAAUAUAUAAAUACCCUUAGGGGUCGAUCUAAGAAAAGAGAGAAAACAGUAGAUUAAUAGAGUAGGAAUAUUCUAGUAAAGGAGGAUUGUUUGGUAUUAUACUUAAUACGAAAAGAUCAAGUAUAUCAACAACAUUCUUUAUUUUGUUCAAUUCCGAAAUAACAUCAAAGCCGAUCUCAUCGAUCAUAAUGUCUUUAAUUUAUUUUGUUUAAAUAUUUUAAAUUGUCUUAAUCAAAACUGCAAUUUUAUUUAAAAAAAUAGUUCCAUUAAAACGUAGUGAUUAUUUUCUUUGUUAAGAGAAGUAGUCAAGAUCAUAAAGUUCCCACCCUACUUUCGAUAAUGGGUAUAUAGAACUUCAAUUUGAGUUAAAACAAGGAAAGAAAAAAUAAUACAUUUAUUUUACAACAAAAAAUCAUUGUCAUUUGCUUGAAAAAUAAAAUAUUGCAAAAAAGAUUCCUUGUCGUUCACAAAAGGAGAAUAUAGUCAAAAAAGAUGAACAUGUGAUUUGCCAGUAGGAAUAUGCAAAUGACAUGACAAGGAAUUUCUUCCUCGCCCAAAGAAAUUGAUACUUCAGAGAAGUUCUAUUUCUUCUUUCAUUUUAAGCUUGCAAAUAAUACAUUUCAUCUAUCGACCUACAUCAAAUAUUUCAUUACCUUCUAUCAACUAGAUUAUCUUCGUCGGUAGAAAUUUCACUCUGUCUUCGUUGAUUCUCUUGGCCACUUUGACAUUCGUUGGUGGUGAUUGUUGAUAGAGUACUACACCCUCGUCAUUAAGACCAUUAAUUACAACAAGCAUCUUGAAAAUUGGCAACAGAUUUGCCGACAGCUUUUGAAAAGGGAUUGAGCCUUCAUUUCGUACGGUGCGGACACAUGAGGUGAUGUGGUGUGACAUGAUGAAAGAGUUCAAAUUAUAAUCAAGAUUUUGUUGUAAUAUCAAAUGUGAUGGGUGGUCUUAAGCUUUAUAUAAGAAAGUUGAAAAGAAAUGAAACAAUUUUCGACCAUCCAUUUUGAUAUAAACGGUUUGUUAAUGGAAUGUAUUUAAAUAAAAAAUUAAUAUUAUAGAUUCUAGAAAAUCUUUAUAUAAUACAUAUUAUCAAUUAUUAAAUUUGUUAUUAUGUAUUUACAUUUUACACAUAGAUUUCUUUUUCAUUAAAAAUUAAUAUUGUUGAUUUUGGAUAAUCCAUACAUAUGUAAUCAUUAAAAUUAAGAAUUUUCAUUUAAAUAUGAUUUAAUCAUUUAGGGGUCCAGGGGUCCAGGGGUCGACUUUCCAGAGAUCGACUUUCUGGGGGUCGACUUUUCCUGGUGAUCGACUUUACUCAAAAGUCGAUCCCAGGGAAGUCGAUCCUCAGGAAAGUCGAUCUUCCUAGGAUUCGACCUGAGACCUCCCCAACCCUAGAAUAGAUACCCUAACUCAUCUUAGGCUACCCGGAUUUCUAGUUGCUGGUAGGUUGUGACCGUGUUCGGGAUACUGUAUCACCAGUACUCCCCCCUCCUCUGCGUAUUAGAUACUUUGGGAUACGUCUUUUAGUACUAUGGUCUGUGUGUCGGACCCUGUACUAUCAAUUCCCAUAUUGAAAAUUGGAUAGUGGAUACCGGGGCAUCACAACACAUGACAGGUAGCAUUCAUUUAUUCACUAAACCAUUAACAAAAGAAUACAACCAUUUUGUCACCAUACCUAGUGGCAAAACUCUUGUAGUUAAAGGGGUUGGGUGCAUCAAAAUUUCUGAAAACCUAGUUCUUAAAAAUGUUUUAUUCAUUCCUGAAUUUAAAGUUAAUCUCAUAGCUAUAAGCAAAUUAACUUUAGACAAUGACAUUAAAGUAAUCUUUGAUGAUCAUUGUUUUAAAUUUCAGAAAAACAAGUCCGGGAGAGUGAUUGGCAAUGGUGAAUCAAGGAAUGGAUUAUAUUUUUUCACCCCCCAUAUCUUCCUAGCAAAUUCAGCCAUCGACUUCAAAACAUGGCAUCAUAGAUUGGGGCACAUCUCCUCAGAAAAGAUGAAAAUUUUAGCCUCAAAAUACAAGAUUAAAUGUAAAAAACCCAACUCAUGAUUGCAAUAGCAAUAGCUGUAAAAAUAGUACUUGUAAUAUUUAUAAAAAUACUAUUUUCAAUCCUAAAAUAAAUAGGAGUAUUGUUUUGAAUAAAAAGGAUGAAAAUUCUGUUUUGAAUAAAAAGAAUGAAAAUCCAGUUUUUAAUAAAAAUUCAAAUUUUUCUUUACAUAAAUUUUUUCUAGAUGAUAUUAGAAAUGUUGAACAGAAUUGUAUGAUUUGCCCACUAGCAAAGCAAACAAAACCCAAAUUUUCUAUUAGUUCUUCAAAAGCUAAAUUUUUUUUUGAUCUCAUUCAUAUAGAUUUAUGGGGGAAAUUUCCCAUUACAACCCAUGAUGGUUUUAACUAUUUUUUAACCAUAGUAGAAGAUUUUAGUAGAGGUACAUGGAUUUAUUUAAUUAAAGAUAAAUCGAUGGCAUUAAAAUGUAUAGAAACCUUCUACAAAAUGGUUAAAAAUCAAUAUAAUACAAAAAUAAAAAUUAUUAGAAGUGACAAUGGAGGUGAAUUCACUUCAAAUAAUUUCAAGAAAAUGGCUGAAAAACAUAGAAUAGUUCAACAAUUUUCUUGCCCAUAUACUCCUGCACAAAAUGCAAGAGUAGAAAGAAAACAUAGGCACCUCUUGGAUGUUGCAAGGGCCCUACAUUUUCAAGCAAAUAUUCCAUUAAAAUUUUGGGGGGAAUGCAUUUUAACUGCAGUCCAUCUAAUCAAUAGAAUUCCUUCCAAAACCAUUGAAAAUAAAACACCUUAUGAAAUUAUUCAUGGAAAAAUUCCAUAUUAUGAAAGUCUAAAAUCCUUUGGUUGUCUAUGCUAUGCAUCAACAACACAAAAGCAAAACAAAUUUUCACCAAAAGCCUAUCAUGGGAUACCCUAAAGGUGUAAAAGGAUAUUCAAUACUAAGAAUUUCAUAUAUCUAGAGAUGAAAUUCUUAAUAUCUAGAGAUGUUUCUUUUAGGGAAUCUAUAUUCCCAUUUAAAGAUAACACAAUAAUAAAAAAUGAUGAUGAAGAAUUCAUCAACUUUCAAAAAGUUUAUAAUAAUGUUUUAUUAUUCCAUGAUGAUUCAAAUAAAUCAUGGUAUGACUACAAGAGUCACAAUCAAAAUCAAAAUAAAACAAGAAAACUUGAUCCUCAAAAAAUAACAGUAGAGGUGAAAAACAUAAAAACUGAUGCUCUGGACAAUAUUCUAAAAUCAAAUAAUAAUAUUGAUUUUUCAAAUCCAGGACACUCUGGAUCUUACAAUUCAGAUACUGAUGUGAUCAAUCACACAAAGAGUAUCUCAAUGAGUAAACACACAACAAAAACAACAGUUGAGUCAAAUAAUAGCCAACAAAAUGGCACAAAUACUGAAAAUGUCCAGAAUUUACAUGAAUCUUAAAAUAAUGAAGGUUAUACAACAUCUGAAAAUAUUCAGAGCCUAAGUGAAAAACAACAAAUAGAAGAAAAUGUAAUUUCUGAAAAUUCAGAAGAACAAGAUGAACAGCUUCAAGCUGUCCAUCACAUAAUUUCAGAAAACCCCCUGGAAAUUAUGAAAAAUAAAAUAACAAGAGUUGGAAGGGUAAUUCACACACCAAAAGCAUACAAGGAUUUCUUUCUUGAAAAAGAUAGUGAAUAUGCUAUUGAUAAGAAAGGGAAAUACCCAAUAUGCAAUCAAGUAUCUUAUCAUAGAAUUAAAAAUAGUCAUAAAAAAUUUUUAAAUAAAAUUUCAGUUAUAGAUGAGCCUAGAUCUUAUUUAGAAGCUUCUAAAAACUCAAAAUGGGUGGAAGCAACGAAUAAAGAAAUGGAGGCACUACUUUUAAAUAAAACUUGGGAUUUAACCAUGCUACCUCAUGAUAGAAAGGCUAUAGGAUCCAAAUGGAUCUACAAAGUCAAAUACAAACCUAAUGGUGAAAUAGAGAGGUAUAAAGCUAGACUUGUAGCUAAAGGCUACACCCAAAAAGAAGGUUUUGAUUAUUACGAAACCUUUGUCCCAGUAGUGAAAAUGACUACAAUUAGAACAAUAAUUGCAAUUUCAGCAAUCAAAGAAUGGAAAAUAUACCAAUUAGAUGUAAAUAAUGCAUUUCUUCAUGGAGAUCUCCAUGAAGAAGUAUAUCUAAAACCACCACAAGGAUUCCUCAAUGAAGGAGAUAAAAGGGUUUGUAAAUUAAACAAAUCCUUAUAUGGUUUAAAACAAGCAUCCAGGAAUUGGGUUGCUAAGUUAAAAGGAGUUCUCCUUGAGAUGAAUUUCUCACAAACACCCUCCGAUUAUUCAUUAUUUGUCAAGAACAAUAAUGAAAACCUGAUAUACUUAUUAGUAUAUGUAGAUGAUAUUAUCAUCACAGGAAACAAUGAAACAGAAAUCUUCUUAAUUAAGAAGAAUAUUGAAAAAAAUUUCAAAAUUAAGGAUUUAGGAAAAUUAUCCUAUUUUCUAGGAAUUGAAGUUUCAUAUCCUUCAAAAGGCAUAUACUUAUCUCAAAGAAAAUAUGCUCUUGGCAUCCUAGAGGAAAGUGGACUCAUAGAUGCAAAACCAUCAAAAAUCUCAAUGGAAAGACAUGUGAACCUAAGAAAUGAGAAGGUUAAGCCAUUAACAGACCCAACCUUUUAUAGGUCGUUAGUAGGCAAAUUAAUAUACCUGAACAUAACUAGGCCUGACCUAACCUUCUCUGUCCAUUGGUUAAGUCAAUUUAUGGGAAACCCAAAUGAGAUACAUCUCCAAGUUCUAUUCAAAGUAAUAAGAUACAUUAAGAAUGCUCCUGGACAGGGAAUUCUAUAUCAAAAUCAAAACAAAAUGGAUCUUCAUGGCUAUUGUGAUUCAGAUUGGGCAUCCUGCCAGAUCAGCAGAAAAUCACUAACAGGAUACUGUAUGUUCUUAGGAACAUCAGUAAUUUCAUGGAAAUCCAAGAAACAGGACACUGUCUCUCUAUCAUCAUGUGAAGCUGAGUAUAGAGCCAUAAGCAAAGCACAAUGUGAGGUACUAUGGUUACACCAGCUAUUUAAAGAUUUAAAAUUAAAAAUCAAAUUACCAACCUCCUUGUACUGUGAUAACAAGUCAGCCAUAUAUCUGGCAAAUAACCCAGUAUUCCAUGAGAGAAGCAAACAUAUAGAAAUUUCUUGCCACUCAAUAAGAGAGAAGAUAGAAAAAGGAAUAAUCCUGUUAAAACAAGUAGGUACAAAAUACCAACUUGCAGAUAUCUUCACAAAAUCAUUGGGUGAGAGUGAAAUUUCAGCAUUCUCAGUCAAGCUAGGAAUUUACAAUGUAUAUUCCAAGGCUUGAGGGGGGAGUAUAAGAAUACAUGAAAAUCUAGGGUAAAUAAGCAAUUAUCCCACAAAACUAAGUCCAUGACCUAAUUGAAAUAAAACUAAACCAAGGGUUAUAACAAAACAGAUUUAACUGUUUUGUUUAUAACUUGAAAGGGGUUUCUUAUAAAUGUUUCAAUAAAAUCGUUAAUUGGACUAGAAUGCAAUUAAAAGAAAUAACAGGUUAUUACAAAAUAAGUUGUUUUAACUUGAAUGAACUUUCAUAUGGGUCAACUCGCAAAUUCUCCAGUUAUUUAAUAGUCUAAGGACUAUUAAAUAAAAUUCUCAAACUUAAGUCAAUGAUUAAAUUGUUAUUACUAACAAGUUUGGUUUUAUGCAGCAAUUAUCACAAUUCAAUUUAAGCGGAUCCGGGUCAAGAAGUAAUGAACCAGAAUCCGGAAUCCGAUUAAAUUUUGUUUUAAAAUCGUUGUAAUUAGUUAGUGUAAUUAGCUGUAUAAGUACUGGAGAGUUUGUAUUAAACAUCAUUAAGUUUUUAAUCAAAUAAAAACUAAACAUUUUUCAUUUUCUCCCCUUUCUUCUUUUCUUUCUUCUUUUCACUCCAACGGUUAUUUUCGUUUUAUCCCAAACUGGGAUUGGGCGGAAAACCCUAGGCGACUCCGGCAAUCUUCUCUUCAAUCGCUCGCCGGACUCCAGAAGACGGUUCCCUGACGUCGCCCACUCCUCCUACAUUGGUUUUUAAGAAAUAUAUCAUCACCAUAUAUCAUCCACAGAGAAAAAGCCUCUUUCCCGCUAGUAUUCCCUGCUCUCCCCUGGCUCCUUUUCUUGCAGGAAUGGCAUACGAUCUGGAAGCCCCACCUUGGCAGAGAUGGGCGAAGGCGAGGAAGAUCGCUCACUUCAGGCCCCUCGCGUCCAAUACAAUUUAUAUGCCGGCGGGUGCAAUAAAUGCUAGAGCAUGCCUUGAUGAGAGAUCGAUGCUCGUACGAAUGAUUGGAAUUAUGAGGAGAGAGGAAGAGGUAGUUGGCUUCAUUAAAAGCAAAUGGAGGCCCCGACAGAACUUCCGGUUGACAAGGAUGAACAGGCAAACCUACAAAGUGGGGUUCUACUGCCUAGCUGACUUUGUCAGAGUGAAAGCAAUUAAAUGGAAUCACCUGGAUGGGGACCUGAUUGUAGCGUGAAGGUCCCUUACUUUGAGGGACUGUGUCCCUUACUGUGACACAGUCCCUCAAAGAGCCGUAAUUCAUAAUAUCCCGGUGGCGAUGUGGGGCGACGAAGCGAUUGGAAGGAUCGCCAGCUCCCUGGGCGUCCCGCUCGAGGCGAAAGUAGCUGAACAGAGGCGACAGUUCCUUCCCCCACCUCUGGAGAUCUGUGUGGUGAUCGGGAAAAACUUCACCUAUCCGGAGAACAUCAGAAUUCGUACCGAGGGCCAAGAGAGCGAACCGACCAGGGAUACCAUCGUCAGUGCGGAAUACAAGCUCAAGGUCCCUUACUGCUACAAAUGUGAGGGGUACGGGCACUGGCCCCAGCAAUGUAGGGGACCGGCAGAGAAAGAGGGUGUCUGGAAAAAACCAUCUCGACAAGGCCGAGCAGGGGUGAGCCGGCAGCCAAUGGCCGAGAGUGGAGCGACGAAGAACAACUUCAAAUUUCAAAACCCAAAAACUCCCGCCAAAGAUCGAGAACCCUAUGGGUGGAAGGGAGAACUGCACCAAAUCCUCGGAAAGGUGUGAGGUGAUCGUUAGUACGGAGAGCACGUCGACCAACCCCCUGCAAAUCGUACCUGCAGCGAGCAAGAGUAAUCAAAUAGAAGACAACGAGCCCCAAUCGGAUGACCCGGAACCGGCUGAGGACCCAAUCACACCACCAAAACAGAGCACCCAGCCAGAAACUGAGGCAGCCAGUCGAUCAUCGGGGAUUCACAACCAAAUGCAGAUUGAGGGACACUCCCUCUCCAUCGAGGACCAUGCUAGCAGAGCCCAUAUAUAUCUUAUACAGUCUCCCGAAUCUAGACAAUCUCCCAAGGAGGUUAUCAUCGGCGACCUCUUACCUAAUAGUCUCGCAAAUGAACUUACACAGAGGCUACGUCAGUCCAGCAAAGCAGCCAACUGACGUUGAGGAGAUUCAUUCCAGACUGCGCUCAACGGAGAAAAGAAUUGCACUUGUCCCAAUUCAACUCUGCAACAGGUUCCAAGCUCUCCAAAGGCCGGGGCGGAAGGGAGUAAUCCCGGCCGGCACGAAGAGCAUCUGAAAAAUCUAUAAAUGCGCGGAGCAUCACCUCCCUGGGAUGACUCUAAUCGCAUGGAACGUUAGGGGAAUAUGCUCCACCGACAGACAAUCGGAGCUGCAAAGAGUCUGUCUAGAGAGGUCAGUCGAAAUAUUCGGCAAAGUAGAAACCAAAACCAAAGAGGAGCAAUUCAAGGAAGUCCAGGGGAAGAUGGAGACUAAAUGGAAGAUUGAAAGGAACUUAACGAAUAAUGGCCGCGACUCGAUUUGGUUGGGGUGGAAGCCGGCACUGUGGAAGGCAACAAUAUUGACAGCCCAUAGCCAAUUCAUUCACGCGUGCAUGCUAAACAGUGGGGGCUACACGUUCGAUCUGACGAUAGUCUACGGGGAGUGAACCGCAGUGAAACGGUACGCUCCGGGCAACAUCGAGCUCCCAAGAUUGGCUUAUCAUAGGGGAUUUCAAUGAAAUCCGAUACCCUUCUGAAAGAGAGGACCACGGUGUCUUCGACAGAGCGGGGGCUCUGGAAUUUGAAAAUGCGAUUUCGGGCUUCUCAAAACUGGAAACGAUGGGAGGCAGCUUCACAUGGACAAAUGGGACGGGAGCUAUGCACACCAGAACUAAACUGGAUAGAGCACUGGAUAUCCAGGUGGCCACAAGUCCGGCCGAAGCUGGUACUCGGGACGACGAGUGACCAUGCUGGCCUCCACGUCCAACUCACUCAGACUGAAAAGUCCUCUACGCCAUUUAAAUUUUUUAAUAGCUGGCUGAGGGAAGCUGACUUUAACGACAAAUUCAUAAGUACCUGGAACGAGCCAGUCAAGGGAUCAUCGAUAUUUGCGCUGUAGCGAAAAAUCAACAACAUAAGAGCAAUGGCGAAGAGAUAGAUCAGCGAUAGGAGGAAAAAGCAAGUGACAUCAAAACAAAUUGCCGCGCAACUCCAACUAGUGGCAGCUAAGCUCCAGCAGGACCCUCACAACAUUGCCACUCAACUAUCCUGCAACAAACUUAAACUUAAGCUCAGGGAAACUCUACAUAGAGAACAGAUGGACCUCAAACAACGAGCUCACAUUAACUGGGUAUCCUUAGGCGAUAAGGGAACACAUUUCUUCGCCCAGGCGAUCAAAGCAAGGCACGCGAGAAACUCUAUUAUGGGCACCUUGGAUCUUAACGGAAAAUCGACUCACACGAUCUCAGAGAUGAAAGACAGAGCGGUCGAACACUUUACUAAGUUGUUCGAUGCGAACCGAAGGCCAGCCCCGAUCCCAAAUCUUAAUAUCGAAGUUGUGGUAAGGCCCUCCGAGGAAGAGAAUGCGAAGCUCAGAUGCUUCUCGAGUGAGAGUGAAGUCCGCAAUACCCUACUGAGCAUGCCAGCCGGGAAGGCGUCGGGCAUGGACGGUCUGACUGUGGAAAUAAUAGCAUUCCACUGGAGCACAGUACGCGUCGACAUAGUACUCGCAAUACUCCACUUUUUGUCACCCGAAGGAUGCUACGAUCCCUCAACUUAGCUAUCCUCACCCUCAUUCACAAGAAGGAUUCGCCAGAGAGGCUCGACGACUAUAGACCGAUAUCCUGUCUAGGGGUCACGUACAAAAUUUUCGCGAAACUUCUCACAACAAGGCUGAUGUCGGUUCUCCCCGGUCUGAUCGCCCCUAACCAAACAACGUUUAUCAAAGAAAGGAGGAUCGCCGAUGCAAUUGCCCUCGCCCAGGAAUUUGUCCAAUCCUUCAAUUGCAAGAGUACCUUCAGGAGGGCACUCAUUGCAAUUGACUUCGCCAAGGCGUUUGAUACCGUACGCUGGAAUGCAAUAGAAGCAGCUCUGGAGCUCCUAGGGAUCGAUCAGACAUUCAGGCAGCUGGCGGCGUAUCCUCCACGUCGGUGUCAGCGCUAGUGGAAGGCUCCCUGACAGUAAUUGUAAAGCAGAGGAGGGGCUUGAGACAGGGCAACCCACUGUCCCCCCUACUAUUUACGGUGGUGAUUGAUUACCUGUCGAAGCUCGUACACCACGCGGUCGCAACCAAGAAGCUGGAAUUAUAUACAACAGGAGGAAUAAAGGUAGAGAGCCACCUCGCCUUUGCCGACGACGUAGAAUUCUUUUGCCGAGCCUCAACGAAAUCGUUUAAUGCAAUCAGUGAGAUCCUGUCCGAAUUCACGAAUUUCGCCGGCCUGAAUGUCAAUUGCGGGAAGAGUUAUGUGGUCUUCUCAAAGCGUGUAAAUGAGGAAACGUACUGGCAAGCAUACUGGACUUCCAGGUCAAGGAACUACCGGUCCGCUACCUUGGAACGCCGCUUACCGACAGAUUAAUUAGAUACAAAGAUUGUGAUGGGCUCCUGGUUGAGCUCAGAUACAUCCUCACAAGGUGGAACUCGAAGAGAUUGUCAUAUGCCGGGCGAAUGCAGCUGGUAGAUUGGGUGUUCCAGGGGAAGUUUGGGUAUCUAUCACAGAGUAGCUUCAUUCCCCAGGCGGCGCUAGAAUCAAUCCAAUCAAUCACCUAAAAAUUUAUAUGGGGGUCGCAAAGGGAAGUAUCAUGGAGAAGUAUGACGAGAACGAAGAAUCAAGGAGGAUUGGGUGUGCGCGAUUACAAAACAGCCCAUCAAGCAGCCAUAAUCAGCCGUGCUUGCCGAAUGUGGGAAUGCGAGGGAGUCUGGAGCAACUGGAUGGGAAAGAGAUACAUUAAAGAUCGCCCGCUCAGUGGGAUCGAAGAGCGCCAGAACGACUCGUCGAUGUGGAAGGCUACGCUACGUCAGAGAAGCCAAAUAGAAAAAUGCACGGUCCUGGGGGCGAACGGAGCCAAGACCUGGAAAGGAAUGGGAACUGCCGACUCAGCCAGGAACGUGGUCUCCACCAUACGCCCAGAGCACCCAACUGAUAGACUCGCGAAGGGAAUCUGGGCAGUAAAGAUGGCCAAAAUGGCGCUCCACUUAUGGAGAUACAGAUCAAACAAUCUCCCAACCAAGGACCGGCUGAUAUGAAGAGGGAUGGUAAUCUGCGGGCUAUGCGGUAAGGAGCAAGAGGAUGUCGACCACGUCUUCCUGAGGUAUGAAUACUCAAGAUGGAUCCUUAGAGAAGGCUUUGAAGAAGCGGGCUCGCUGGUCAACCUCGGCACUGCGAACAGCUUUGAAGAGGUGGCCGGUGAGCUGAACAAAAUCACACUAGGCAUCCCAGCAUGGGGGCUGCAAUGGUCAAUGCUGGGCGCGAUACUAUUCCAAGUAUGGAAGCAACGGAACCUCCAAAGAGUCAGGAACAAGCUCGAGCCGAAGCAGAUAGUCCUCUGAUCAUGCAUCGACAUCGUCGGAAUUGGCUUUGAUGAAAGAAAUUACAAGAGGAGGCACCGGACACCGAUUGAAGGAAGGGCAUUGCUCCAAUGAGAUCCCCUCCUCAUGCUCAUCCACGGCGACCGAUGAAGGGAGUUAGCAACUGCUAACUGCUGGCGGGUAAAUUAGUUGAUCAGUUUAAAUUAAGUUUAAAUGUUAAAACACUAUAAUUCAGGUUUUCAUUAAUAUUAAAGUAUCUUUAACCAAAAAAAAAGAAUAAACUAAAACUAUACAUCACGACAAAUUGCUGAUACUUUUACAAAGUCAGUCUCUCAUGAUAUUUUUUUUAAUAUGUGCAGGGGUGUUUGAAUAUGAAAUUCACUAUGUUUAAGACAGCUUGGUAAUAGGUAAGGGUUAGUAAAUCUUUUCUACUAUCUAAUUUUUGUUUUGUCUCUAGUUGCUUUGUUGCAGUCUGAGAUAAGAAUAAUGGAAACAGGAUGUUAUACAAGUAGUCCAAUGGUGAUUAAGACUCAGAAAUGUAAAAGUUUUCCAGAAUAAAGUCACUGAGUUUUUAAUCCAUUCUGUCCAAAAAUUUCAGAGCUUACUCAAUCAAUCAAUCAAUAUUACUCUAUUAUAAAUUGAAUCUUCUCAUUGUUGAAAUCCCGAUCUAGUUUAAGUUCUCUCAUGUAUAUAUAUACGGCGCGUACGGUGCAGUUCUCGCACGGCGUGGUUCGAUACGCCGGCGAAAUCUGACCGUCCAUCGCUUGAUUUGCCGCGAACUUCGACACGGAAGAUGUGUGGUUCGUCGAUCCGACCGCCCAUCCACCGAAUUCUCAACCGAUUUGCCGCGAACUUCAACACGCAGGACGUGCGACCAGAAACCCAGUGUAUAUAUAUAGGAUAAUUAGGGUAUCAACUAAAGCUCGACUCGACGAACUCGAGCUUAAAAUUCAAGCUCGAUAAGCUUAUCGGUCAAACUUAGAUAUUAAUUGAUAAGGAUUAUUGAAUAAAUUAAAAAAAACUUAAAUAAAAACUUAAAUCUACAAAAAAACAUCAAGUUUGAGCCCAAGCUUGUCGAUUUUGGAAUAAUUAGGGUAUUAACUAAGUUCGACUCGACUGGCUCGAGCCUAAAGUUCAAGCUCGAUAAGCUUAGAUAUUAAUUGAUAAUAAGGACUAUUGACUAAAUUAAAAAAAAACUUUGAUAAAAACUUAAAUCUAAAAAAUCGUCUAUUUUGGGAUAAUUAAGGUAUCAAUUAAAGCUCGACACAACGGGCUCGAGUCUAAAGUCCAAGCUCGACACAACGGGCUCGAGUCUAAAGUCCAAGCUCGACACACGGGCUAGAUAUUAAUUGAAAAUGACUAUUAAAUAAAUUAAUAUAAAAAACUUAAAUAAAAAUUUAAAUCUAAAAAAAAUCAUAAGCCCAAGCUUGUCGAUUUUGCAAACGAGCUGAGUCCGAGCUCGGCCAAACCAGGAUCGGGUUCGAGCCAAUUCCUUAAUGAGUCAAGUCCGAUUCUAUAAGUAAAUUAAAAAGCUCGGCUUGUCUCGACUUGACUUGACUAACACCGUAAGGAUAAUGAAAUAAACAAACAAGAAACAGAAGAAAGUAGUAAAAAAAUAUAUAACGAGACCUAAUUAUGGAUAUUUGAACUCACCUGUUAUAUUCUGAAAUCUGAAUUAUUGUCACAAGAUCUGAGUCGUAAAUGCUUUGAGGGAAACUCAAUUCGAGAUGAUUUUAUUUUGAGGAAAAAACUUGAAUUUUUUUAAAUUUGAUUCAGCAUGUACCAAACCUGUAAAAUAAAAAUUUAAAAUAACCAUCAGAACCGCAAAUAUCUACAAAUUAAGAUAAGUUGCAGAUGAAUGAAUAAAUGAAUAACAUCGACAUAUGCAUAACUUACAUGUUGAUUGUACGCCAAUACAAGAGGUACCCAAUCUAAACAACUCUGGGCAAUACAAAUCAGAGAACUCCAGGCCAAGAAGUAGC
rnacentral:lncRNA from 1 species